rnacentral:rRNA from 1 species
UACCAGCACCCCGAGUGGUCGGGACGUUUAUUGGGCCUAAAGCAUCCGUAGCCGGUUCUACAAGUCUUCCGUUAAAUCCACCUGCUUAACAGAUGGGCUGCGGAAGAUACUAUAGAGCUAGGAGGCGGGAGAGGCAAGCGGUAGACUCGAUGGGUAGGGGUAAAAUCCGUUGAUCCAUUGAAGACCACCAGUGGCGAAGGCGGCUUGCCAGAACGCGCUCGGACGGUGAGGGAUGAAAGCUCGGGGGAGCAAACCGG